rnacentral:rRNA from 1 species
UAUUAUUGCCCUUACGAGUAGGCUCACACGUGCUACAAUGGCGUAUACAGAGGGUGGCGAAAUUGCGAGAUGGAGCGAAUCUCAGAAAGUACGUCUAAGUCCGGAUUGGAGUCUGCAACUCGACUCCAUGAAGUCGGAAUCGCUAGUAAUCGCGAAUCAGAAUGUCGCGGUGAAUACGUUCCCGGGCCUUGUACACACCGCCCGUCACACCAUGGGAGUGGGUUGUACCAGAAGUAGAUAGCUUAACCCCAAGGAGGGCGUUUACCACGGUAUGAUUCAUGACUGGGGUGAAGUCGUAACAAGGUAACCGUAGGGAAA